GGGCUUCUGGGCCUAGUACACCCCAUCGCAGUUGGGCUUCCUGCUUCAACUGCAGCUCCCAGGAGCCCAGCCUUCAGAGGAGAAUGGGAGGUUGGGGCAACCAAACUACAUCUCCCAUCAUGCAUCAUGGUAUCCUCUCUUGCUGAUGGGAGGCGGUGCCUCGUGGCUUCAGGCAGCAGCACCAGCUUUCCAAUGAGUUGGGUGGUACUCGACCCCCAGCUCUGCCCCAGAUGGCCAUCACCUUCCACAACCAGAGAGUCCUGGGCAGCGCCCGCCAUGACCACGCUGUGUUUCUGAACGAUGAGGACAGCAAAUCCCGGAACAUGUUUUACUGCCUGAAGGUGCGGCCGAG